CAGCAAAUAGAGCGGCUGCUCCCGCCAUCUUUUAUCAAACGCCUUUUCUUUUUGUUUUGUCUUUUAUUCUUAAAAUGAGACCACAAACUACCACUACUGUUUCUACAUCGUCAUCUGUGUUUGAUUAUUCUAAAUUCACGUAUGGUAUUGUAAAGUGAAUAA